CAGCCGCCGCGGGAAUACGGAGGGUGCAAGCGUUAAUCGGAAUUACUGGGCGUAAAGCGUGCGUAGGCGGUUCGUUAAGUCUGUUGUGAAAGACCCGGGCUCAACCUGGGAAUGGCAAUGGAUACUGGCGAGCUAGAGUGUGUCAGAGGAUGGUGGAAUUCCCGGUGUAGCGGUGAAAUGCGUAGAGAUCGGGAGGAACAUCAGUGGCGAAGGCGGCCAUCUGGGACAACACUGACACUGAGGCACGAAAGCGUGGGGAGCAAACAGGAUUAGAUACCCCUGUAGUCCCUGUCUCUUAUAC
rnacentral:rRNA from 1 species